CCAGCCUGCUGUUUUGUAUGGCUUUUUAUUCCUAUGUGAUUAUACAUCCACUUCAUAUAGGGAUUGAAGCCGUGCAAUACACCGGGGUCC
rnacentral:pre_miRNA from 1 species